rnacentral:tRNA from 1 species
UAAGCCCUCUUAUUUCUA